UUUUUAGCCAGUGGUGAAGACUGAACGGUCGACUAAAUCGUUCAGAGUUUUUGGAGAGAUUGGCAAUAGGGCCAGACAUGAUACAACGUCUUCCCAGACUCUCAACUGUGUAGCACAGGGACUCCAGGUCUGCAUGUAAUUUGCUGGAGUUCCUGGCCAUGAUGUCAUUUGCUCCCACGUACGUUAAAACAAAAUUAAACAAAAUUAACAGUGGGAUGCAGGUCAGUGAGAGUUGGAAUGAGUUCAAUUAGAUCGAUUACCUUGCCACCAGAGAGACAGUAGGUGAUAGCACCAGGAAGAGUUAAGUGUCUGACGAUAGAAUCACCUACUAUCAAAAUUUCCGGAUUGCUGCUUACCAUACAGUUGUUGUAGGUGGCAAGUUUCGGUGAAAGGUGGUGCUGGGCGCUGACCAGGCUAGCUCGGUUAGCAUCAGCGUUGGUUGAGCUCUGCGGUGUCCAGUGGAGCAGCACCCUGGCCGGAGGGACCAAAGCCAGGUGGAGGCUGGAGGACCACCGGAGCGACUGGAGCUCUGGGUGUUACAGCAGGAGCUCUACUACUGUCCUCCGGUGAUGAAGUACACAGUCAAGGGCAUUUUUCAGAGGGAGAGUUGGCUCUAGAGCUGGACUUGCUGCACGGAGAUCUGCGCCUUUUGGAAAUAACACUAGGUGUAACUUUGCAUUUUCCAUCAGCACAGUCCACAUUCAGCAGCAGUGAAGGUGACUGUGGAGGAGCAGCCAAAGGAGUAAAGAAGUUACACAGCUUCAAAUCUGUGGAAUCAUCCUGAGAGUCAUAGAGAGGAAGGGACAGUCUUCUGAGGCCCAGGUGGAACAGCCAGGAGAUGGGUCAACUGUGUCAGGGCAAUUUACCUUCACCGUUAAACUGGUGGACUUGGGAAGCUCCAGCAAGGCUAGCCAGGAGCUGAGGUCAGUCUGCCACUGGAGAAGAACAGAGAUGAGCUGCUUGAUGGAGGCCAGUUCACCCUUGAUCUCAGAGAUAAACAAAGAGGUGACCAUGCUUAGAAGUACGGUAUAGCCUCGGUUUCACCAGAAACCACACCAGCAAGGAGCCUGGGAGCAUGGCAAUCAGCUCACCGGCACACCUGCUGCCCAUCCACACAGCAGAAGCCUGCAGUAUUUAAACCCCGGUCCUGCACUCCACUCUUCACCAGAUCAUUCCGUAUAGUAUGUGGAUCAUCGCCUCCAAUCCUUCCAGUCUGCCUGCUCAGCUCUCUACAAUAAACUGCCUUUUGUCUGAGCUCUUACAAUGCUUCUGUGUCUGAGCUCUACCUCUAGGUCCAGUAUUAUUGACAUUUAAAUUUAACAGAACGAUCAGACCCAGAAACAACAAACAUUCAAAGAGUACUCUCCAGUCAAGGGAUCUUACUCAGACAGCAUGAACAGUUACUUUGAACCCUCUCCAAGAGCAGCCAAGCCAUGGUAAAACAAAUAACCCAGUUCACCAACCAAUUUCCCCUGUUAUCAUAUCUGCUUACUCUGCCAUUGCCUAUGAGUUGACACCCACCUCUGCUGUCCCAACACAACAGCAGCCAGCCCUGUCUCAACCAUCUACCUCCUCACCUGCAAGAUACAGUGAUACAGAUUUUGUACUUUCCCACUUUUGGUAUCUACACAUUCAGGUAGUUCCAGUCUGAUGGGGCUAGGUCUGUGUAUUAGGUUAGAAUACAGACAUAACAUUAGAAGGUGGUAUAGCUUAAUGGACUUCUUUAAACUUCAUUAUGGAAAUAAACCAUAUAAUGACAAAGUAUAAUCUUCUAACCAGUUAUUUUCUAAAUGUACUGUAAUCUUCUAUAAUCUUAUCCUUGCCUAAUUUCAUUCCUCCAUCUCUGACAGGCUUUUCCUUUUUGCUCACAGGAAUCAUUAAAGUAAAAGGAAGUGUCUCUUCCAAUUGGA